UACAGAGGGUGCGAGCGUUAAUCGGAAUUACUGGGCGUAAAGCGUGCGUAGACGGUAGCGUAAGUCAGAUGUGAAAGCCCCGGGCUCAACCUGGGAAUUGCAUUUGAGACUGCUCUGCUUGGGUGCGGAAGAGGGAAGCGGAAUUUCCGGUGUAGCGGUGAAAUGCGUAGAUAUCGGAAGGAACACCUGUGGCGAAAGCGGCUCACUGGACCGCAACUGACGCUGAGGCGCGAAAGCUAGGGGAGCAAACAGG
rnacentral:rRNA from 1 species